AUGAAAGCCGAAGGAAGCUUCAUUGGAAAAAAAUGGAGAGAUAUAGCUAUACCAAAAGGAGAUGGAGGCAUGGGCUUUAGGGAUUUUGAAAUGUUUAAUCAAGCUAUGCUUGCAAAACAGGGCUGGAGGUUGAUUACCACACCAAAAUCGUUGUGUGCUAGAGUUCUUAAAGGCAAGUAUUUUCAUGAUCAUGACUUUAUGUUAGCCAAGAACAAGAGAGGGUCAUCACAUAUUUGGAGGGCAAUACUCCAUGGCAGAGAGGUACUAAAACUGGGGUUAGUGAAGAGGGUUGGAGAUGGCUCUUCUAUUCGGCCUUGGGAUGAUCCAUGGAUUCCAUCUAAUUAUGGUUUCAAACCUAUUGUGAAGCUCCCAGGUGCAGCCGUGAACACAGUACAAGAUCUGAUAGAUGAAGACACUGGGGAAUGGGAUAUCAAUAUGAUAAAAUUGCAUUUUGUUGAACCUGAUGUGAGUGCAAUCUGCAGGAUCCCCCUCGGUCGCUUCACCGAGGACUCAUGGGCGUGGCACUUUGAAAAGCAUGGGAAUUUCACAGUAAGAUCAGCAUACAGAGAGCUAGUAGCUAAAUGCCAUCAAAGAGUCCAGUCGGGUUCCAGUAGCAGUCAAGCAAAUGCAUGGAAGAAAAUGUGGCGACUUCAAGUUCCUCCAAAGGUUAGAAAUUUCUGGUGGCGUAUUUGUCAUGAUUUCAUUCCGUGCCGCGCGGUGCUGAAGCGAAGACAUGUGGAGGAAAUUGACUUCUGUGAAAGUUGUGGGCAUCCGGAAACUUUGAUGCAUGCAAUUUGUCAUUGUACUUGGGCUCGGAGUUUUUGGGACGAGAUUAAAAUUCUAACUGGCAUUAAAAUUCCCAAACUUCACCCGCAGUCGUGGACACUUGAUCUUGUUGAUGGAACCAAGGUUUCUCAAGCAGAUGCUUGCGUUAUUUGUUGUGGUGCGUGGGCAAUAUGGACUGAGCAAAAUACAAGAAUACAUGGGGAGGCUGGACGUACUAUAGCGCAAUCUGUCAAAUGGGUUACUGAUACAGUGAUGGAUUUGGUUAUGGCAGGAAAAGAAAACUUAGUUAAGGCGCCGAAGGUGAAAGCUAAAUGGUCACCACCUGAAAAUGGAGUGAUCAAGGUGAAUGUUGAUGCCUCCUUUGAUGAGAAUACCAAUCAAGGGUCUUCCGGGCUGGUGAUCCGUGAUAGUUUUGGCAAUCUCCUACGUGCACAGGCCCUUUGGUAUGAGUUUGCAGCAAGCUCGAUGGCAAUGGAAGCUGAGGCGAUUCGGGAUGGGGUGCAAGUGGCCCUGGAGAGAGGCUUCCGUAGAGUUGUCGUCGAGAGCGACGCUCAAGCAAUCAUAAAGCUGUGGGAGACAGAAGAUUUUGAUCGUGCUGAGAUCGUUGGAGUUCUUCACGAGAUCAAAGAACUGAGUGCACAAUUUGAGAGUUUUAGGCUAAUUUUCGUACGAAGAGACGCUAAUGAGGCGGCCCACUUAUGUGCGAAGCAGGCGACAAAUGUUAGGAGGAGAUGCUUAUGGCUUAAUUGCGUUCCAGUAUUCCUAACGAAUACGUUGUAUCAUGAUUGUAUGCCUGAUUAG
rnacentral:rRNA from 1 species